CGGGGGGGAGCUUACACAUGCAAGUCGAACGGUAGCACAUAGGAGUUUGCUCCUUGGGUGACGAGUGGCGGACGGGUGAGUAAUGCUUGGGAAUCUGGCUUAUGGAGGGGGAUAACUACUGGAAACGGUAGCUAAUACCGCGUAAUGUCUUAGGACUAAAGGGUGGGACCAUUUGGCCACCUGCCAUAAGAUGAGCCCAAGUGGGAUUAGGUAGUUGGUGAGGUAAAGGCUCACCAAGCCCGCGAUCUCUAGCUGGUCUGAGAGGAUGACCAGCCACACUGGAACUGAGACACGGUCCAGACUCCUACGGGAGGCAGCAGUGGGGAAUAUUGCACAAUGGGGGGAACCCUGAUGCAGCCAUGCCGCGUGAAUGAAGAAGGCCUUCGGGUUGUAAAGUUCUUUCGGUGACGAGGAAGGCGAUUGUUUUAAUAGAACAGUCGAUUGACGUUAAUCACAGAAGAAGCACCGGCUAACUCCGUGCCAGCAGCCGCGGUAAUACGGGGGGUGCGAGCGUUAAUCGGAAUAACUGGGCGUAAAGGGCACGCAGGCGGUUGUUUAAGUGAGGUGUGAAAGCCCCGGGCUUAACCUGGGAAUUGCAUUUCAGACUGGACAACUAGAGUACUUUAGGGAGGGGUAGAAUUCCACGUGUAGCGGUGAAAUGCGUAGAGAUGUGGAGGAAUACCGAAGGCGAAGGCAGCCCCUUGGGAAUGUACUGACGCUCAUGUGCGAAAGCGUGGGGAGCAAACAGGAUUAGAUACCCUGGUAGUCCACGCCGUAAACGCUGUCGAUUUGGGGAUUGGGGUUUAACUCUGGUGCCCGUAGCUAACGUGAUAAAUCGACCGCCUGGGGAGUACGGCCGCAAGGUUAAAACUCAAAUGAAUUGACGGGGGCCCGCACAAGCGGUGGAGCAUGUGGUUUAAUUCGAUGCAACGCGAAGAACCUUACCUACUCUUGACAUCCAUGGAAUCUUGUAGAGAUAUGAGAGUGCCUUCGGGAACCAUGAGACAGUGCUGCAUGGCUGUCGUCAGCUCGUGUUGUGAAAUGUGGGGUUAGUCCCGCAACGAGCGCACCCUAUCCUUUGUGCCAGCGAUAGGUCGGAACUCAAAGGAGGACUGCCCGUGAAUAAACCGGAAGGAA
rnacentral:rRNA from 1 species